rnacentral:rRNA from 1 species
GAUGAACGCUGGCGGCGUGCCUAAUACAUGCAAGUCGAGCGAACGGACGAGAAGCUUGCUUCUCUGAUGUUAGCGGCGGACGGGUGAGUAACACGUGGAUAACCUACCUAUAAGACUGGGAUAACUUCGGGAAACCGGAGCUAAUACCGGAUAAUAUUUUGAACCGCAUGGUUCAAAAGUGAAAGACGGUCUUGCUGUAACUUAUAGAUGGAUCCGCGCUGCAUUAGCUAGUUGGUAAGGUAACGGCUUACCAAGGCAACGAUGCAUAGCCGACCUGAGAGGGUGAUCGGCCGCACUGGAACUGAGACACGGUCCAGACUCCUACGGGAGGCAGCAGUAGGGAAUCUUCCGCAAUGGGCGAAAGCCUGACGGAGCAACGCCGCGUGAGUGAUGAAGGUCUUCGGAUCGUAAAACUCUGUUAUUAGGGAAGAACAUAUGUGUAAGUAACUGUGCACAUCUUGACGGUACCUAAUCAGAAAGCCACGGCUAACUACGUG